rnacentral:rRNA from 1 species
UGGGGAAUAUUGCACAAUGGGCGCAAGCCUGAUGCAGCAAUGCCGCGUGAGUGAAGACGGCCUUAGGGUUGUAAAACUCUUUCGCUAGGGAAGAUAAUGACGGUACCUAGUAAAGAAGUCCCGGCUAACUCCGUGCCAGCAGCCGCGGUAAUACGGAGGGGACUAGCGUUGUUCGGAAUUACUGGGCGUAAAGAGUUCGUAGGCGGACUAGCAAGUUAGAGGUGAAAUCCCAGGGCUCAACCUUGGAACUGCCUUUAAAACUGCUAGUCUAGAGACCGGAAGAGGUUAGGGGAAUACCUAGUGUAGAGGUGAAAUUCGUAGAUAUUAGGUGGAACACCAGUGGCGAAGGCGCCUAACUGGUCCGGUACUGACGCUGAGGAACGAAAGCGUGGGGAGCAAACAGGAUUAGAUACCCUGGUAGUCCACGCCGUAAACGAUGAGUGCUAGAUGUUGGGAUUUUCGGAUUUCAGUGUCGCAGCUAACGCAUUAAGCACU